GAUGAACGCUGGCGGCGUGCCUAAUACAUGCAAGUCGAGCGAACAGAUAAGGAGCUUGCUCCUUUGACGUUAGCGGCGGACGGGUGAGUAACACGUGGGUAACCUACCUAUAAGACUGGGAUAACUUCGGGAAACCGGAGCUAAUACCGGAUAAUAUUUCGAACCGCAUGGUUCGAUAGUGGAAGAUGGUUUUGCUAUCACUUAUAGAUGGACCCGCGCCGUAUUAGCUAGUUGGUAAGGUAACGGCUUACCAAGGCGACGAUACGUAGCCGACCUGAGAGGGUGAUCGGCCACACUGGAACUGAGGCACGGUCCAGACUCCUACGGGAGGCAGCAGUAGGGAAUCUUCCGCAAUGGGCGAAAGCCUGACGGAGCAACGCCGCGUGAGUGAUGAAGGUCUUCGGAUCGUAAAACUCUGUUAUUAGGGAAGAACAUACGUGUAAGUAACUGUGCACGUCUUGACGGUACCUAAUCAGAAAGCCACGGCUAACUACGUG
rnacentral:rRNA from 1 species